CCUACGGGAGGCAGCAGUGAGGAAUAUUGGUCAAUGGGCGCGAGCCUGAACCAGCCAAGUCGCGUGAGGGAUGACGGUCCUAUGGAUUGUAAACUUCUUUUGUCGGGGAGUAAAAGCCGCCACGUGUGGCGUUUUGAGUUUACCCUAAGAAAAAGCAUCGGCUAACUCCGUGCCAGCAGCCGCGGUAAUACGGAGGAUCCGAGCGUUAUCCGGAUUUAUUGGGUUUAAAGGGAGCGUAGGUGGAUUGUUAAGUCAGUUGUGAAAGUUUGCGGCUCAACCGGAAAAUUGCAGUUGAAACUGGCAGUCUUGAGUACAGUAGAGGUGGGCGGAAUUCGUGGUGUAGCGGUGAAAUGCUUAGAUAUCACGAAGAACUCCGAUUGCGAAGGCAGCUCACUGGACUGCAACUGACACUGAUGCUCGAAAGUGUGGGUAUCAAACAGGAUUAGAUACCCUUGUAGUC
rnacentral:rRNA from 1 species